UUUUUUUUUUUUUUUUUGAGACAAGCUUUCUCUUGAACCUUGACUUCACCAAUUCUGCCAUACUGACUGGUCCAGUCAGUUGCAGGCAUCCUCCUAGCCCUGGCCCUGCUAUCAUACCCCCCACAUAACUGCCCCAGUGCUGAGGUUACAGAUGUUCACCUCUGUCCCUGGGUUUUACAUGGCUGUUGGGGAUCCAGACUCUGGGUCUCAUACUUACAUAGCAGUACCAUAUCAGCUGAGCCAUCUCCCUCAUCUCCUUGAUGUCAGCAUUGUCAAAGCCAUAAGGCUGUUAGGUGCAUUAAUACAGUACAGGGACGUGCAUGAGUCACCUAUGCCGGUUUACCAUUUGAUCAUUUGCUGGUCUCAAGUGAACUAAGAAGUUGUUACAGAUAGUUGAGCUGCCGUGUGAGUGCUGGGGAAUGAAGCGGGGUCCUCUGGAAGAGUAGUCAGUGUUCUUAACUGCUGAGCCACCUCUCUCAACCCUUUAAACUUUUUAUAUGUGUGUGUUUUUUUAGGAAGCUUCUACAGUAGUAAGCUUCCAUAUGACCUUUUCAGAAUACCUUUUAUGUUAGUUGUUCCUUCCUUCAUCUCCUCUACCCUCCCAGCUGCCUUCUGCUUAAGCCCUUCAUGUAUACUUAUUCCCCUUAGCCCUCUAUAUUCUUGCAUUCUAUCUCCAUCCCUUACAGCAAGAAUGUGUAAUGUUUGCCAUAUGGUGAAUGUCUUCCAAGGAAAGGAAAUACAGAAAAUGCUAGCAGGGCAGGGACCUAGCUAGCUAACAAAUUUCUGUAUUGCUUCUCAGAAAUCUACAUACAAAAAAUAUAUUUACUGCAUCCUUUAAAAAAAAUCUUAUUGGCUAGAUUCAUAGAACAAAACUUUAAGUUAUGUUAGUUGGGGUGCAAAAUUAAUACCUUGGCAGGAGUUGGUACUAAAACAGAUUGGGUGCUGGAGCUGGCUUGUUUGUUUUAGAGCCCUUGUUGCUCUUGCAGGGGGCCUUGGUAGGGUUCUCAGCACUCACAUGAUGGCUCACAACCAUCUGUAACUCCAGUUCCAGGGAAUCUGACACUAGGUUAAAGGAGGUUAAAGGAGGUAUUCAGAACAAGUAGAGAGUUUAUUUUGUUUGCUGAUUAAUUUCUUUUCAGAUAAUUUAUUAAUAAGGUCUAACUACUAAUACCAUUUAUUUAUAGUGGCCAAUACCCUUUUUCUUAAUGCCUCUCUCCCUAUCAGAAAUUUAUGGGAUAAUAUAUAAUUUUAUUAGUAAGUGGCUUCUGGGAUUGGUGAAAUGGCUCAAUGAGUAAAGUCACUUGUGUAAGCCUGGCAGCCUGAUUUUGAUUCUCAGAACUCCUAUAAAGGUGAGAAGAAAGAACCAGCUCCACAAAUUUGAUCAGACACACUAUGGUAUGUUCAACACACACAUAUGUAAACAGCAAUACAUUUUUAAAAACCUUUUGAACUUAGGCUACUUAUACAGUUUAAUCCGUUCCUUAGAAUACGGUUCCUACCUGACAGCUCCUCUUCAGGCCCUAAGGUUCCCCACUAUUACCUCUCUCUCUAUCUCUGGCCCUCAGGUUCCCCACUAUUACCCCCCUCUCUCUCUCUGUGUGUGUGUGUGUGUGUGUGUGUGUGUGUGAGAGAGAGAGAGAGAGAGAGAGAGAGAGAGAGAGAGAGAGAGAGAAGGGAGAAGAAGGAGGAGGAGUGGGGUGGGGGGAGAGAGAUCCAUUCACUUCCUGCAGCAACAAUUAUCCUGCAGUCAUCUUGGUCUAAAAUUUUUAAUUGACAAAUUCAAGAAAUACCUUGUAAGUUUUAAAUUUGUGUACUAUUCAGUGGAGUUUGAUAAAAUUUUCAUGCCAUCAUGCUUCAUCCCACCCUAUAGUCCCGACUGUCCUGGAAAUCACCAGACCAGGAUGGCCUGGAACUCACAGAGAUCCACUUGCACCUGCCACUCAAGUUCUGGAAUUAAAGUUCUGCACUAACACACCCUGAAGAAACACCCCUGCUGCUCUCAUAAUAAGGUUUAAAACCUAUGCAGUGAGAAGGUAGUAGUCUGAUUUCAGCAAACAUGUUGUAUUAGUAACGGUUCUCUAAAGGAAUGGAACACAUAGAACACACACACACACACACACACACACACACACACACACGCACACACACAGAGACUUUAUUAGAGUGGUGUACAAGCUGUGGUCCAAGUAAUCUAGCUAUGGCUGUCUGUUGAUGGAAAGGACAAAAAUCUGGUAGUUGUUAAGUCCUAAGAGAGCUGCUGGCCUGCAGGCUACCUUGGUAUUCUGACAGCAGAAGGUGGGACCCAGAUUUAGGGUUGAUCCUCUGACUUCAAGUAAUCUGAAUUUCAAAUGGGUCUCCCACCUCAAAUAGUCCAACCAAGAAAAAUAUUUUUGCUUGGUCUUAGUUAAUUCUAGAUGUCAAGUAGACAACCAAGGAUUUAUCCAUCACAAAUGUUUUGUUCCUUCAAUUCUAAAUUUGUAGGGAUUUAUCGUAAUUAGUUGUUUUAGCACAUAUGUCUCCUUGAAGACUGGCUUAAAGUACUCUUUUUGAUAAGAUAAAAAACAACAAUGCUCAGAAAUAAGAAUUGCAGCAACUAAUAUGCCACAAUAGUGCUACAAAUACUUUUCAUACCUUAAUCCAUGUAUUCUCAUAACUUCUCCUAUAGCUGGCUUUAUUAGUUUUAUUGCCAUUUUAUAGAUUGGAAGCCAUAAUUUAUUGACUCAAGGUAGUCUGGCUUCAUUCAGCAUUCAUCUUGUCCCGUUCUGGCCUAACAGACUCUCAGUUCCUGGGUCAUCCUGUGCUUCCUGUAGUGUGCUGUGAGCACUGGCAUGUAUUUCAGUUUGAUGGCCAUUACCCACUCUUUACCACUCUUUACUCGGUUGGUUGACUUUUUUUUUUUUAAGACAUGGUCUCUUAUAGCCUAAGCUGGCUUCAGGUUUUUUUAUGCAGCUUAUACUGACCUUAAACUUCUGGUCCCUUGUGUCACUACCCACAAGUGCUGGGUUUUAGGGAUGUACUACCACACCUGGCUUUCCCGUUUUCAGUAUGUGUUUGUAUAGCAACUUCCUAUGUACAGUCUUGGGAUUUAUUCUGGGAGUAAAAGUUUUGUUACACCUCUUGAAAUUUUUCCAGAACAUAGAAAUACCUGUUUUGAUUGGAUACAAUUACGGGGGCGCGUUCCUCAUCCCUUUCUUCCCUCCAGCCUCUUCCAGACCCCUCUGCUCAAAUGCAUGGCCUCCUACAUCUUAUUGUUGUUGUUGCUAUAUAUGUAUGUAAACAAAACUAUAUAAGUAAAACCUUCAGAGUCAGUUGAGGGUUGCUUGUAUGUAUAUGAUUUCAGGACUAAGCAUUUGGCAUGGGAUAACUUUAUUUAGGGGGCCCUCUCUAAACAGUUGUUAAUUGCCAGUGAAUUUCCAUCUAAGGUUGGAGCCCCAUGAGAUUUCUCCCAUUCACCUUAGCAUGUCAGUCGGUAUUUUCAUUGUUGUGGUAUUGUCUAGGCAACACAUUGUUGAUGUUUUAUGGACGCAAUCCUCCUGUCACAAGACAUACUCAGCAGACUUCCUGGUCCUCCGGCUCUUAACAGUCUUUCUGCCACAACAAUGUUCCCUGAGUCCUGGGUGUGCAGUUGUCUUGUUGAUGUUUCCAUUUAAAUUGGGCACCCCUCUUAGAGUUUCUUUUGCUGCAAUGAAACACCAUGUCCAAAGAGCAAAUUGGGGAGGAAAAAAAAGUUUAUUUGGCUUACACUUCUGUAUUACUGUUCAUUAUAGAAGGAAUUCAGAAUAAGAACUCAAACAGGGCAUGGAAGCAGGGGCUGAUGCAGAGGCCAUGGAGAGGUGGUGCUAACUGGCUUGCUCAGCCUGCUUUCUUAUAGAACCCACAAUAGGUUGUGCCCUCCCCCAUUGAUCACUAGUUGAAAAAAAUGCCUUACAGCUGCAUCUGAUGGAGGCAUUUCCUCAACUGAGGCUCCUUCCUCUCUGAUGACUCUAGCUUGUGUUAAGUUGACACAAAGCCACCCAGUACAGCACCCCAGACCAGUUGUUCUCAGUAUAUUGACAAUUGUGGCUUUCUGUAAUGGACUUUGUUUUCUAGG
rnacentral:lncRNA from 1 species